GACGAACGCUGGCGGCGUGCUUAACACAUGCAAGUCGAACGGAAAGGCCCUGCUUUUGUGGGGUGCUCGUGUGGCGAACGGGUGAGUAACACGUGAGUAACCUGCCCUUGACUUUGGGAUAACUUCAGGAAACUGGGGCUAAUACCGGAUAGGAGCUCCUGCUGCAUUGUGGGGGUUGGAAAGUUUCGGCGGUUGGGGAUGGACUCGCGGCUUAUCAGCUUGUUGGUGGGGUAGUGGCUUACCAAGGCUUUGACGGGUAGCCGGCCUGAGAGGGUGACCGGCCACAUUGGGACUGAGAUACGGCCCAGACUCCUACGGGAGGCAGCAGUGGGGAAUAUUGCACAAUGGGCGGAAGCCUGAUGCAGCAACGCCGCGUGCGGGAUGACGGCCUUCGGGUUGUAAACCGCUUUCGCCUGUGACGAAGCGUGAGUGACGGUAAUGGGUAAAGAAGCACCGGCUAACUACGUG
rnacentral:rRNA from 1 species